rnacentral:rRNA from 1 species
UACGAAGGGGGCUAGCGUUGCUCGGAAUCACUGGGCGUAAAGGGUGCGUAGGCGGGCCUUUAAGUCAGGGGUGAAAUCCUGGAGCUCAACUCCAGAACUGCCUUUGAUACUGAAGAUCUUGAGUUCGGGAGAGGUGAGUGGAACUGCGAGUGUAGAGGUGAAAUUCGUAGAUAUUCGCAAGAACACCAGUGGCGAAGGCGGCUCUCUGGGACGGUACUGACGCUGAGACGCGAAAGCGUGGGGAGCGAACAGG